UGGAGGCUUGAGAAAGUUUGGGUGGUGUUACAGUACUGCCAUAACUGGUUAUAACCUCCAAGACUAAAUCUCGAUCACUGCAUUCAUGUCUGAUUAUUCAGUUCAGAUUAUGCGCUAUGGUCGAGGACAUUUG